UACAGAGGUGGCAAACGUUGUCCGGAUUUAUUGGGUGUAAAGGGCAUGUAGGCGGUUUUGUAAGUCAAAGGUGAAAUGGCCCGGCUUAACCAGGUCAUUGCCUUUGAAACUGCAGGACUUGAGUACGGAAGAGGAAAGCGGAAUUCCCAGUGUAGCGGUGAAAUGCGUAGAUAUUGGGAGGAACACCGGUGGCGAAGGCGGCUUUCUGGUCCGAAACUGACGCUGAGGUACGAAAGCGUGGGGAGCAAACGGG
rnacentral:rRNA from 1 species